rnacentral:rRNA from 1 species
AACGAACGCUGGCGGCAUGCCUAACACAUGCAAGUCGAACGAGACCUUCGGGUCUAGUGGCGCACGGGUGCGUAACGCGUGGGAACCUGCCCUUAGGUUCGGAAUAACUCCCCGAAAGGGGUGCUAAUACCGGAUAAUGUCUUCGGACCAAAGAAUUAUCGCCUUUGGAUGGGCCCGCGUUGGAUUAGCUAGUUGGUAGGGUAAAAGCCUACCAAGGCGACGAUACAUAGCUGGUCUGAGAGGAUGAUCAGCCACACUGGGGCUGAGACACGGCCCAGACUCCUACGGGAGGCAGCAGUGGGGAAUAUUGGACAAUGGGCGAAAGCCUGAUCCAGCAAGGCCGCGUGAGUGAUGAAGGCCUUAGGGUUGUAAAGCUCUUUUACCCGGGAUGAUAAUGACAGUACCGGGAGAAUAAGCACCGGCUAACUCCGUG